ensembl:snRNA U6 U6 spliceosomal RNA
GUACUAGUGUACUAGUACAUGUACUAAAACUGGAAUGAUACAGAGAAGAUUAGCAUGGCCCCUGGUGCAAGGAUGACACGCAAACUCGUGAAGCAUUCCUAUUUUUC